GUACGGAAGGCAGCAGUCGGGAAUAUUGGUCAAUGGGGGAAACCCUGAACCAGCAAUGCCGCGUGAGUGAUGAAGGUUUUCGGAUCGUAAAGCUCUGUCUUUGGGGACGAAUAAAGUGACGGUACCCGAGGAGGAAGCCCCGGCUAACUACGUGCCAGCAGCCGCGGUAAUACGUAGGGGGCGAGCGUUGUCCGGAAUUACUGGGCGUAAAGGGCGAGUAGGCGGUUAUAUUAGUCAGAUGUGAAAUACCGGGGCUUAACCCCGGGGCUGCAUUUGAAACUGUAUAGCUUGAGUGCAGGAGAGGAAAGUGGAAUUCCCAGUGUAGCGGUGAUAUGCGUAGAUAUUGGGAGGAACACCAGUGGCGAAGGCGACUUUCUGGACUGUAACUGACGCUGAGGCGCGAAAGCGUGGGGAGCAAACAGGAUUAGAUACCCCAGUA
rnacentral:rRNA from 1 species